UACGGAGGGAGCUAGCGUUGUUCGGAAUUACUGGGCGUAAAGCGCACGUAGGCGGCUUUGUAAGUUAGAGGUGAAAGCCCGGGGCUCGACCCCGGAAUAGCCUUUAAGACUGCAUCGCUUGAAUCCGGGAGAGGUGAGUGGAAUUCCGAGUGUAGAGGUGAAAUUCGUAGAUAUUCGGAAGAACACCAGUGGCGAAGGCGGCUCACUGGACCGGUAUUGACGCUGAGGUGCGAAAGCGUGGGGAGCAAACAGG
rnacentral:rRNA from 1 species